rnacentral:lncRNA from 1 species
ACUCACCGCCGGCAGCUGAAAAAAUCUCGUCCGUGACACUUUCCAUGUAAACCUCAGAAAAUCUACAGUUCUUCCUCACUUGAAAAAUGCUAACUUGUUGAUCAAAAGAGAAGGCUAAGCAAUGCAAAAGCCACACGCGCCGCCCCAUCUCGCUAAAAACCUUGAAGAACUCUGUUUCCGGGAAUUCGCCGGAGUUCACAAGCUUUCUCUGAUUCAAAUUCCCGGAGAAUGAAAACUCCAUUUUUGGAUGAACAGAGAAGGCUAAGCAAUGCAAAAGCCACACACGCCGCCCCAUCUCGCUAAAAACCUUGAAGAACUCUGAUUCCGGGGACUCGCCGGAGUUCACAAGCUUCCUCUGAUUCAAGUUCCCGGAGAAUGAAAACUCC